GUAUUCCUACGGGGGGCAGCAGUGGGGAAUAUUGGGCAAUGGAGGAAACUCUGACCCAGCAAUGCCGCGUGAAUGAAGAAGGUCUUCGGAUUGUAAAGUUCUUUAGUCAGGGAAGAAGUCAAUGACGGUACCUGAGGAAUAAGCUCCGGCUAACUACGUGCCAGCAGCCGCGGUAAUACGUAGGGAGCAAGCGUUGUUCGGAAUGACUGGGCGUAAAGGGUGCGUAGGCGGUUGUACACGUUAGCAGUGAAAUAACCAGGGCUUAACUCGGGUGCUGCUUCUAAAACUGUGUGACUUGAGU
rnacentral:rRNA from 1 species